rnacentral:rRNA from 1 species
AUUGAACGCUGGCGGCAUGCUUUACACAUGCAAGUCGAACGGCAGCACGGGCUUCGGCCUGGUGGCGAGUGGCGAACGGGUGAGUAAUAUAUCGGAACGUACCCAGAAGUGGGGGAUAACGUAGCGAAAGUUACGCUAAUACCGCAUACGAUCUAUGGAUGAAAGCAGGGGACCGCAAGGCCUUGUGCUCCUGGAGCGGCCGAUAUCUGAUUAGCUAGUUGGUGAGGUAAAGGCUCACCAAGGCGACGAUCAGUAGCUGGUCUGAGAGGACGACCAGCCACACUGGAACUGAGACACGGUCCAGACUCCUACGGGGAGCAGCAGUGGGGAAUUUUGGACAAGGGGGGCAAGCCUGAUCCAGCAAUGCCGCGUGAGUGAAGAAGGCCUUCUGGUUGGAAAGCUCUUAUGUCAGGGAAGAAGCGGUAGAGGCUAAUAUCCUAUGCUAAUGACGGUACCUGAAGAAUAAGCACCGGCUAACUACGUG